rnacentral:rRNA from 1 species
GAUGAACGCUGGCGGUGUGCCUAAUACAUGCAAGUCGAACGGGCAUAGCAAUAUGUCAGUGGCAAACGGGUGAGGAAUAUAUAGGAACCUCCCUAGCAGUAAGGAAUAACUUUGGGAAACCAAAGCUAAUGCCAUAUAUUACCCCUUAAGAAAUUAAGGGGGAAAGAUUUAUCGCUGUUAGAUGGGCCUGUAUCAGAUUAGCUAGUUGGUAGGGUAAUGGCCUACCAAGGCAAUGAUCUGUAGCUGGUCUGAGAGGAUGAUCAGCCACACUGGAACUGAGACACGGUCCAGACUCCUACGGGAGGCAGCAGUAGGGAAUAUUGGACAGUGGGCGCAAGCCUGAUCCAGCAAUACCACGUGAGUGAUGAAGGUCUUCGGAUUGUAAAGCUCUUUUAGUAGGGAAGAUAAUGACGGUACCUACAGAAAAAGCACCGGCUAACUUCGUGCCAGCCGCCGCGGUAA